GAUGAACGCUAGCUACAGGCUUAACACAUGCAAGUCGAGGGGAAACGAUAUUGGAAGCUUGCUUCUGAUAGGCGUCGACCGGCGCACGGGUGAGUAACGCGUAUCCAACCUGCCCAUCACUUGGGGAUAACCUUGUGAAAGUAAGACUAAUACCCAAUGACGUCUCUAGAAGACAUCUGAAAGAGAUUAAAGAUUUAUCGGUGAUGGAUGGGGAUGCGUCUGAUUAGCUUGUUGGCGGGGUAACGGCCCACCAAGGCGACGAUCAGUAGGGGUUCUGAGAGGAAGGUCCCCCACAUUGGAACUGAGACACGGUCCAAACUCCUACGGGAGGCAGCAGUGAGGAAUAUUGGUCAAUGGGCGCGAGCCUGAACCAGCCAAGUAGCGUGAAGGNUGAAGGUCCUACGGGUUGUAAAGUACUUUCAGCGGGGAGGAAGGGAGUAAAGUUAUACCUUUGCUCAUUGACGUUACCCGCAGAAGAAGCACCGGCUAACUCCGUGCCAGCAGCCG
rnacentral:rRNA from 1 species